rnacentral:rRNA from 1 species
UACGUAGGGUGCGAGCGUUGUCCGGAAUUAUUGGGCGUAAAGAGCUCGUAGGCGGCUUGUCGCGUCGGAUGUGAAAGCCCGGGGCUUAACUCCGGGUCUGCAUUCGAUACGGGCAGGCUAGAGUUCGGUAGGGGAGAUCGGAAUUCCAGGUGUAGCGGUGAAAUGCGUAGAUAUCUGGAGGAACACCGGUGGCGAAGGCGGCAUCCUGGACCAACACUGACGCUGAGGAGCGAAAGCCAGGGGAGCAAACAGG